rnacentral:misc_RNA from 1 species
AGGGUUGUAGUUCAAGUGGUGUGGGAGACACGAGACUCACUCAAUGUUGUGGUUGAGCUCCUAUAAUUAAACAAGGGUCAGACCUGGGCAGCGGCGCCUACCACCAACUUUGUCUCGCUCCAAACACACGCACGCGCACACACGCGUCUGAUUUUUGUGCCUCUUAGUGUGUAUGUAUGUGUCUGAGUGUAUGGAAGAGUUGUUGUUUGUCAGCGUUAUAAUUACCGUGAGUGUUGAACUGGAAAAAGAUGUUAUGUGACAGUGAGAUAACAUUAGGUCUCAUGCAGUCAACCGAGUCGUAACAGUUGCGCUGUGUACCACCCGUGACUACCACCAUGGUUUGCCUUGACUUCCCGAGGCAACGACCAGCUCCCCUGCCUUCCUUGUUUUUCGUCUAGUCACUUGAAACAUCUUAAGCCAUCCAUGACGACCCUCUUCACCUCCACCCAUGCCCCUGGCGUGUUGUGGGCGGCAGUGUGGGCAGUCCUGUGUAGCAUGGUAGGGGCAGUGUGGGGGCAGUUCGGUCCCCAGUGUGAGGAGAUCAAGAUACCCAUGUGUCAGAAGAUGCCCUACAAUCUGACUAGACUGCCUAAUCUGCUCCAUCACUCAACCCAAGAGAAUGCCCAGCUUGCCAUGGACCAAUUUGAGCUUUUGGGAUGGACGAGAUGUUCAGACCAGCUGGAGUUCUGUGCUCUAUGUAUGCACCCAUCUGUACUGUGGGUUUCGUUCACGAGGCCAUCCCGCCGUGCAGGAGUGUGUGUGAGGCUGCCAAGCAGGGGUGUGAGCCACUCCUCGCUAAGUUUGACAUCGCGUGGCCCGCCAACCUACAGUGUGAUCAUCUGCCAGUGUAUGACAGAAGUGUUUGUAUCACCCCACAGGCCAUCAUCUCCUCAGAUGUAACGCCUCAGCCAACUCCAGAACAAGCUCCAUGUGAAUGCCUCAAGACUCGGCCUCUACGAAAACGUGUGUACAGAAGACGAAACUUUGACUUUGUGGUCCGUGGGAAGGUGCGGAGUGUGGAUACUUUCGGGUCUCUUACGCUGACGACUGUGGCGGUGACGAAGGUGGUGAGGAAGGGUCGUGUGCAGGUGAUCCCAGGAGCCGACGCGCACCUGUGGACAAACCGAUCCUGUGCUUGUCCUCCUCUCCCCCUCCACCAAGACUACCUGUUGCUGGGCUGGGAGGACUUCGCCAACAGUCGUCUGCUGUACCUGGACGGGAGUAUUGCAGUCCCCUAUAGGAAGAAGCAUGUGAAGAAGAUACAGAACUGGGAAGGCCUCGAUGCAUCCCCAACACCCACUGUCAAUACUCCCCUCUCCUCCACGCUCACCCCGGCCCACCCAGGCAGUGAUGUGAGGAAUAAUCAGAGGAGAAGGAAGCGGAAAAGGAAGAACCCUCGAAAUAAAAAACUGAAAAGAAAAAGAAGAAAAAAUAGAAGAGGGAGGAAACACAAUAGCGAGAGACGAACAAACAACUCUGGACGCUGAGGGGAUAGAGGUAUAGACGCUACACACUACAGUGAUCGCUGUCAUAAACAAACAUGCCUACACUUUGAAAGAGUAAGUUCAAGAUAAUGGUGAAUUCAUGUGUUGUUGCUGGAUGCCACAAUACAUCUAAGAAGAAAGACAAGUCCCGAUCAUUCCACACUAUUCCUGCUUUCAUUUAUAAUCAAGAAGAUAAAACACAAGAAUUGUCUAUAAAGAGGAAGGAUUUGUGGACUUCUAGGGUAAACUGAAAAGGGCGGUUGCCUUCUGAACAUUCCAAGUUUGUUCCGACCAUUUCAAUGAAGUUGUGAUGACAUCUUUCCUGUAUUGUGGUAAACCUCAACACUUGUAGAUGGUCAGUGACAGCAAAGUGUCCAUUCAUCAGGUACUGCUGAGAGAGAGGUAUCAACUAGAGGACUUGUGUGCUGUGAUACGGUUACGUUGUCCCGACCAACAAUUAGCACUGUGAUACAAGGACAACCAUGACUAGAGAUGCCCACUAAAAUAUGCACAUUUGUAACAUGUAAUUAUUAUGUGGUGUACAUGACUUGUAUGUUAUAUUAAGUGUACAUUAAUUAUUUUAUAAUUAAGUGGUGUAAAUGAGUUAUAAGUGAUGAUUAGAUAGCAAGCAUUUGUUUUAAUGCCCAUUAUGUACUUACCGUAAUUCAAUUUUACAAUAGUAGCCAAUGAAAACUCCUGAGGCAAGAAUUUAAAGAAUACAUUUACUGUAUAAUUAUUUUCAAAAUAAACCAGUAUGACAUUUUCAUCUUUAUUCAAAGUAAAUUUAAGUAGUGUUAUGAAGAGUCCUGUCAGUGUAAUAUAAAGGAGUUUCUUACAGAGGAAAAUUGGUCCAAAGAUGAUAAUUAUUUUGUCAGACAUUACCACAGUUACUCUUACAACAUGAGCCAGUGAACCAUCCUUAGUCAAAAUAUAUAAGUGCAAAAGUUAUGUUAUAAACAUUUGUUAAUGUUCUGUAACUGUUGGGAACUUACUCGCUACUUUCAUUAAACAGCUGCAUUGAAUUUAGAUCUAAAGAUGGAAAGCUGCAGUACAGUAUAGGCAGAACAAGGUGAAAUGUUCCUUUGCCUGCCAGAUACUGAAAUUUACCUACCCAAGAAAAUGUACUUUGUGAACUGCUUUUCACAACUCCUAACUAUAAAUUGGUAGUGCUGUCAACUACUGUACCACUCUGAGAUAUCAGGUAAGUGCUGGAGUUAGGAAUGGAUAAAGAGUCACUAGUUUGUUAUAAAAUAAUGAACUAUUUCUCCAUAACAUUUCUCACUGGGUGGCUGUCACAAAGCCAGUCAUAUCAUAAUAAUGCCUUAAGCUAAAUUAGAAGCUAAAUUAGGGACAAUGACUGAGUGCUCCUCCAGGUCUCUGCUACUCACUGAGAUAGUUAACCUAAAGCUAUGUGAUAAAUGACAAUGUGCUUAAAUCUUAAACUGUACAGGUACUUUUUAUAUUUAUAUUAGUGUAUGAAACUGAGUACUGUACACUAUUGGUAUCUGUUUUAUGUCUUAUUUUCUCUUUGAAUACUGAACUUGCUCCAUGCUUGUAACAUUUGCUUUAACUGAUGAUGUCCAAGGAGCAGAAAAAAAAAUGCUAAUAUGAUACUGUAACUACAA